rnacentral:rRNA from 1 species
AUUGAACGCUGGCGGCAGGCUUAACACAUGCAAGUCGAGCGGGGAAGGGUAGCUUGCUACCUGACCUAGCGGCGGACGGGUGAGUAAUGCUUAGGAAUCUGCCUAUUAGUGGGGGACAACAUUCCGAAAGGAAUGCUAAUACCACAUACGCCCUACGGGGGAAAGCAGGGGAUCUUCGGACCUUGCGCUAAUAGAUGAGCCUAAGUCAGAUUAGCUAGUUGGUGGGGUAAAGGCCUACCAAGGCGACGAUCUGUAGCGGGUCUGAGAGGAUGAUCCGCCACACUGGGACUGAGACACGGCCCAGACUCCUACGGGAGGCAGCAGUGGGGAAUAUUGGACAAUGGGCGAAAGCCUGAUCCAGCCAUGCCGCGUGUGUGAAGAAGGCCUUUUGGUUGUAAAGCACUUUAAGCGAGGAGGAGGCUACCGAGAUUAAUACUCUUGGAUAGUGGACGUUACUCGCAGAAUAAGCACCGGCUAACUCUGUGCCAGCCGCCGCAGUAACAC